rnacentral:lncRNA from 1 species
AUCAGGCAAUGACCAUGUAAAUUGGUUUGUUGGAGCAUACAACCAUUGUAAUGAAAGCGAUGUGCAUCCAGACAAGUUGUUGAGAAAAUCAGGAAAUUUGAUAACACCAGAGUUGUUAUAGAAGUAAAAACGUUCCAAACUACAGAGGUUACCAAGAUAUUUGGGUAUCCCAUCUAACAUGUUGCCAGAGAGAUAAAAUCGGACUAGGCUAUUGCUGGUUAAUGGGAACAACCAAUGAUACAUGGACGAGGUGAGAUUGUUGUCUCCAAGAAUAAGGUAUUUAAUAGAUGAGGAAGAAGAGUUGAUAAUUUGUGAAGAAUAUGGAUAAAUGACCUGUGACAGCUCACAUCCCGAUAAACUUAAAACAGAGAGUUUACGGAGACUGAGAAUAACAUCUACCCAAUGAUUUGUUUUGGCCAGUGAAAUCCCAUCCAUUGCAAGUCCCUCCAGAUGAGAUAGAGGAGACAACCAGUCUAGGUUCUCAACUCUACACCUUCCAACCUCGACAAGGUAAAGCACUUGCAAGUUGGUGAGGUUUCCAAACUCUGGAGGAAUGGCUCCAUAAAGAGAAUUAGAUGAAAGGUCAAGGUAUUUUAAUUCUGUCAAGGAACCGAUGGACAUGGGAAUGGUUCCAUUAAGAUUAUUGAAGCCAAGGUGAAGGGACCUUAAUUGAGUCAACGAACCAAUGAUCGCAGGAAUGGUUCCAUGAAAAGAAUUGUAGGAAAGAUCAAGAUAAUUCAAGUAGGUUAAGUUAACCAAUGAAUGGCUAAUCUCACCUACAAGACCACAGGACAUCAGAUCAAGCUCUGUGACAUGACCACCUGUUUGGUUGUUGCAUGUUACUCCACUCCAUUGACAGCAGUUGUCUUGUUCAGCUGUCCACAUAGAGAGACGAUCAGAAGGGUCUUGAAGGAGAGAUUUGAAAUGAAGGAGAGAAUAUUUCUCCUUCUCAAAACACUUCUUCCCAACAACAUUUUCAUCUCCUCCUCCCACUGCUGCCAAUUGGUUGGCAGCUGCAGUCUCAAGACAUAGCAAGAGAAGUGAGAAUAUCAUAAAAACACAAGGAUGCAUGAUGUAAAUGCAAAUCUUAAUUGGUGAUUUUUUUUGUUUGUAUUAAUGAAAAUUUGAAGAUGCCCUAUGCAAGUUUAUAUAGUGCCAACUUUGAAAAUGAAGGAUUUAAGUGGAUGGCGUCAACUACAGGCCUAAAAAAUAAUAAAUUCUGUUUUUUUUUUUUUAAAUAGUAGGAACAAAGUCUUUUUUUUCCUUUUAUUUUUAUCAAUAUGGAAGCAUUAUUUUCAUCUUGUGAUAUCUUUUGGUCCUCAUCUUAUGUCAUACAAAUCCCAAAAAACAAACUAACAAAAUCAAAUACACAAAUCAUUUAGGAAAAAGCACAAAUGGUAAAUAGGUAAUGAAUUAGUGCCUGGAAACAUUAUGUGUCUUUUGGCUUAAUAUGUUAUGUCAAAAAGAAACAACCAUAUAUAGUUAGCUUUCCAGAUCAAGGGCUUAAUUUAUUAAGCCUAUUAAGUCAUAAAGAAUCAGCCCCUAAGGGCCUAAGUGCUGAGUGAUAAAUGAUGAAUCUCCAGAGAAUGUAUUGGAUAAAAUAACGCUAAUUGUUUUUGUAUUUUGGAUUAAAUGAACCAUUCGAAUAAGAGAAAAUGACCAUUUUACCCUUAUUUAGCAGGUUGUUUGUUUGAGAAUUAUUGUAAUGUGAAACUAAAAAUCAGUGUGAUGCGACCAUUAGACUUAAAUAUGUUUGUCAAAAACAACCAUAACUGUCCUGUAAUUAUUUUGUACAGAUAGUGCAAGACCUUUUUCAAAGCAUUAUUUCCUAAACAACAAAUCAGAAUGUAAACGAGUUGUUAUAUCCAGAAACAUUGAAUUAAACACUAAUUUAACGAGGAUUCAUGCAUAUCAUAUUCCCGUCAGUUAUUAAACAACUUCUAUUUAUGUCUAAUUGAGACAAUUCUUCCAAUCCUAUGCAGAUUUAAUCUCUUAAACAGAUUUUUGAUACCAUUUAGAAAAGUUCCAACUUCCAACAUAAACAUUAACCCAGAAACAACUCUAAUUUAUGGAAUCAAUUGAGGUUUUCUCAAUGGAAACAAAAAGGCACCGUUCCGUUAAAACUAAAAAAAAUUAAGGAAAAAAAAAAGAAACAGAGAAACAUCAGUCAACAGAAAAUGGUGAAGAGAGAGAGAGAGAGAGAGAGAGAGAGAGAGAGAGAGAGAGAGAGAGAUGAUCGAGAAUGAACAGCUGAGAUAGUCCAACAACUUACCUGAUGGAAGAGACCGAGGGAGGAACGACGAAGAUGUUAGGUAUAUGUUGCUUUCACAUGGUUAGUGGACAACACAAAAGAGUCACCUAUCAAUUGGCACACAAAAGGAAUAAUAGGCACUAAGAAGUAAGAAACUCCAACGGACCACUAUUAUUAUUAUUAUUAUUAUUAUUAUUAUUAUUAUUAUUAUUAUUAUUAUUAUUAUUAUGGGAUAGAGGCCCAAAUCACUCCAAUGGCACGCCAAAUGAGACGCUACUUUUAUGUUGAAAAUAAUAGGCACUAAGAGAACUCCAUACGAGACCACUAUUAUUAUUAUUAUUAUUGCGGGAUAGAGGCCCAAAUCACUCUAAUCACAUGCCAAAUGAGACACUAAUUUUGUGUUGAAACUAAUAGGCACUAAGAGGACUCCAAAGGACCACUAUUACUAUUAUUGUGGGAUAUAGGCCCAGAUCACUCAUGCCAAAUGAGACACUAAUUUUGUGUUGAAAAUAAUAGGCACUUUAGAGGACUCCAACGGACCACUAUUACUAUUAUCGUGGGAUAGAGAAUCGCACGCCAAAUGAGACACUAAUUUUGUGUUGAAAACUUUUGGCCUUUAAAUAUGGUGCUCACUCAAUUACUACACAAAAUCAUUUUUACAUUAUAACUUAGGGUUAAUGACUUAAAAGGGUAAUUAAGUUUCAAUUUUGUACAAAAUACACCAUUGAAGUAUAUCAACCAACUUAAAAUAUCGUUUACAUAAUACCAUCUUAAUUGACUUUUCUUUCUUAUAUUCCAUUGUGUAACUGGUUCUACCGAUUAUGAGGUAAAGAUGACUUGAAAAAAAUCAACAAUUACCGUUCAUCGUCCUCUCCAUCUUCGGAGCGGGGCGGAGACAGUAGGGGGGCUGUCGGAUGUUUUGCCCCCCUCAAUCUCUUUUAAAAAGAAUAGCUCUCUUAUAUAUAAAAUAAGCCUAUGAGUAAAUAUUUAUCCCACAUCGGUAACUAUUAAAGUAAGCCCUUCUCAAUUAUUUUUAUAAAAGCAAUUGUUUUAUGUGAAAAGUAUGAAGUUGUGAGAAUUAUGACUAAUUGAGGCGCACAUAAAAAAUGACACUCCCUCUGCUCCAAAUAUUUUUAUUUUAAUAGGCUAUUGAUUUUAUACCUUAUUAAUGUCAACUAGAUGGGUAUCCCCGCGAUGCAGGGAUUCGAAGGUAUUUUUUUGUAAAGUACAUUGCUAAUCUCUUGAAUUCAUCUAUUUAACUAUGUUGGACUGAUAAGCAAUGCACCAUUAUCAAACGUGGCACUCGAUUGCUUUUUACCUACAAUUUCUUUAAAAACUCUGAAACAAUGCUGAAGUUGGUAUAAAUAUAAAAUGCAAGAAUCCUAUCAUCUAUUUUAAAAGUAGUAAUCUAGGAUCCUUAUUUGUAACAAAUCAAAGAUUCCUAAUUACAUAAAUAGUCCCUGUAAUUACAACAUUGGAACUAUUGUUUUAAGCAGCAGGCGGAUGCCACUUUCUAAUCUAGCUAAUCCCUACAGAUGUACAACAGCAACUUUGAACAGAUUAUGUAUCCUAUUGCACUUUCUUCUCUGUUAAACCUUCGUCCACUUUAGGAUUCUCAGUAAAAAAAAACAAAAAAUAGAAUUCUAUGAAAUGCAAUGCUAUAUCAAUGUACUUUACCAUUGUUUCACAUGUGGAGAUCAGGUGUAGACUCUAAAAGUUGCAUCAUGUAGAUAUGAAUAAUUAAAAAAAUAGUGGAAAUUAACAUGAUAUUGACCAAACUUUGGUUUUUUGAGUUAUUUUUAUGUUUAUCUGCUCCUUUGAGUGAAUUCCAACAACAUCCUUUGCAUUCCUCCUACCAAUGUAUUCAUUUCUUUCACCUACUCCAUGUAUCUGGUAGUAAUUUUACCCAUUCAGACAAUAAAAUAAGUUUGGAUCUCCCAGUUUGUAUCUUUUUAAAUAAGAAAAUAAAGCAAAGAUAUGGAGAAGAAGAUAUAGUGUCGGAUCACCCAAUUUGCAUGAAGAGCUUCCAUUAGUUCAUCCACUAUUGAAAUAUAUUCUUGUCCUUCCAACCUUCAUUCUCGUAGCCCUAAAUCUGUCAAUUAAAUUACAAGAAGGUCAUUAGUUAAAAGUGUGCUAUGACUCUAUAAAGAAACGAUAGAUAACAUAAAUCACAAAGUUUUGUGUGUAUGAAAGUUGUAAAUAAAAAUAAAUUUAAGUUUUGACUUAAAAAAUCAUACCCUUUGUGGAUUAAUACAUAUAAAGUUUCCGAAUUAGAAUACCAAUUUCCUGAACUCCAAAAUCACCUAACCCAACUAUACGAUUGCCAUCUCUCAGCACCAUGAUGUCCACCUCAUUUGCUUUAAAUUUAGUCAACUAAAAAUUGCUAUAAUGCAAAAUGGCUUAUUUGACCACUUAUGUUAAAAAGGGAUCAUUGAAAACAUAUAACCUCAUGAGCUGUCCCAUUUUAAAUUAAUGACAUCAUCUCUCUAUCUUUUGCACUAAAGUACAUUCCACUUGGACGCUUAAACAAUCCUGAAUAGUUUUGGCAUUCAACUCGCCGGAAACCAGGUCGUCGACUUUACAGGUGUAUCUGCACCCUUUCUCUUGUAUCUGAAAUAAGAAAACUGGAAUAUCCAUUAAAAAAAUUUAAUGAAAAGAAUUGAAUUGAAAAUUUUGUUAAAUGACCCAAACGCCCUUUAAUGGAUUUUUUUAAACAAAAUUCUACUUAUGGAGGAUCAAAUGGGGCCUUCUCUACCAAAAUCCAUUCAAAUAGCUAUCUUAAGUCAUGCUUACUCUGCAACAUGAAUCAGAGGAUGAAUUAGCGCAAACAAACUGAAGCUUAUGAAGCAUUAAACUUUUAAAAUCCACAUUGUUGUUUGUAUCCAAAGAUGUCAAAGGGUUAUAUGCAUGGAAUAGCAACCUACUUUAGGCAAUAUAUUUGUUUUCACAGAAUGCCUAUAUACUUUACAUUUUGUUUGUAUUUUUAUUGUUUUACACAAAAUAACAACAUAAUUUAGAUUUCAUCAUGUUAGUUCCUUGAGGCAUGUUGCCUAAAAUUAACAGAAAAAGUAGGGGUGCAAACGAGNNNNNNNNNNNNNNNNNNNNNNNNNNNNNNNNNNNNNNNNNNNNNNNNNNNNNNNNNNNNNNNNNNNNNNNNNNNNNNNNNNNNNNNNNNNNNNNNNNNNNNNNNNNNNNNNNNNNNNNNNNNNNNNNNNNNNNNNNNNNNNNNNNNNNNNNNNNNNNNNNNNNNNNNNNNNNNNNNNNNNNNNNNNNNNNNNNNNNNNNNNNNNNNNNNNNNNNNNNNNNNNNNNNNNNNNNNNNNNNNNNNNNNNNNNNNNNNNNNNNNNNNNNNNNNNNNNNNNNNNNNNNNNNNNNNNNNNNNNNNNNNNNNNNNNNNNNNNNNNNNNNNNNNNNNNNNNNNNNNNNNNNNNNNNNNNNNNNNNNNNNNNNNNNNNNNNNNNNNNNNNNNNNNNNNNNNNNNNNNNNNNNNNNNNNNNNNNNNNNNNNNNNNNNCUAAAUAAGUUUAAGCUCGGCUCGAGCUCGUUAAGAAGCUCGUUUACUAAUACCCUAAAUCCGUAAUUCCUCUAAUAUAUUUUUAUUUUAAUAUAUAUAAAUAAUAAUAAAUUAUAUUAUAUAAAGGCUCGUUCAGGCUCGCGAGCCUAAUCGAGCUUAAUGACAUAGGCUCGAGCUCGAGCUCGUUUAAUAAACGAGCUUAAUAUUAAGCUCGAGCUCGACUCGGGCUCAUUUAAAAUCGAUUUCGAGUCGAGCUUUUAAUGAUCCGAUCCCGAGUAGCUCGCGAGUAGCUUGGCUCGUUUGCACCCCUAAGAAAAAGGGUGCAUUGCUUAAAUAAAUAUUGAAAAGGGUGUGAUGCAUAAGAUAGGAAAUGACCUAAAGUGGGUUAAUAUUAUGUGCUAGAAAGUUUUUACAAAUCAAAAUAUUUAGGAAGUAAAUGAUACCCUAAGGAAUAGAAAUACCAUUACCUGAAAAUAAUCCAUCCAAGUGAUAUUGCUUUUUGAAUUCCUUAAACAUUUGAAUUGUUUUCUAGAUUUUUAUAGUUUUAUAGCAUAUUCUCUUAUUACAUUUUUCAAGAUUUUAUUACUUAUUAGUAUAUCUAUCGAAAUGGCAGUUCUUAUCAGUCACACAAAUUGUUACAAAUGGGUCUUUUUGUCAAUGUAUUAAGCGUACUUACGUAUUUUUUAGAUAUUAUUGUUACAAACUCAUUACUAUUCUUGUCUAAACCCUAAACCCUAAACAAACAACAAUACAUUUUCCAUAAUAACAAAUAUUCAGGUUAACAUCAAAAUAGCAGAAGAAAUUAACUACCUGGCUAUAAUUUCUGAAACUGGACAACCUUUUUCCUUUAAUUUCAAACCCUAGGCAACAAAUUGUUGAAGAGGAUGAUGAUGAUUCUGCUCUUCAAGAAGGAAUUCAGAUCACGAACAAAAAAUAUAGAAGUAUGAAGUUAAAACCAAAAAUUUAUAUAUUGUUUAUUUGUAUUAAAUCAUGCACUCUUCUUCCUUAUUCGAGCGAGGAGGUGUUGAAGAAGUUAGUGCCGAGUCGAAAUGCUUCACGAACGGUGGCGAUGGCUUCUUCAUUGGAGACAGGAAGCCUGAAAUCCUUCUUGAUUUCCAAUCGGAAGCCGCUAGGUUAAGAAGACCAUGUGGAUUCUCUUAGCACUUAAUUGGAUGAGAACGGCGGUGAUGAAUGGGCGUGUGGAGAUCAGUGAAUCGGCGCACAAAGGAAAGAUGGACAUCAGUCAAAUGACAGUGAUGAAAAAUUGUUGUCGUUUGAUUUAUGGAGGCAAAUGCAAAAAUCAAACCUGACACCGACUAUUAAGAAGGGAUAAAAUGAAGAAGCAGAAGGUAGACUAUGCUGGAGCUAAUGGCGGUGACACCACCAACCUUGGUUAUAAACCCGACAAUGACAUCAAACGUCAACCUACACCAUCAAUUUAGAGCAGAAACAUCAACAUGCGUCUAGGUUUCCUGAGGUUGGAGCGGUGGGAAGCAUGGAGAAGAGCAAGAUAACCUGAUAGAAAAUAGUGGAAGCGUUAGAUGGAGAGAGAUAGUCAAAGAUAUCUAUGGAGUUACUGGGUGAUAAUACGUGGAGUACCGGUAUUGUAUCGUAGAGACGGUGUAUCAUGGGGAGGACACGUAGCACCGACGAAGAGUGAAGAGGGAAGGAAAGAAUGAGACGUAUCAACGGUACAAUGCAGAUGAACAGGGACUAAAUUGCCAAUAUGACAAACUCUUGUGGCAAAAUCCUUAACCAAUGAAAAUAUGUAAAGUUGUGGACCAAUUUUGUCAAAUCCUUAGCCACUUUACUGUAGCUAAGGAUGGACAAUUUUAAUAUAUAUAUAUAUAUAUAUAUAUAUAUAUGUGUGUGUGUGUGUGUGUGUGUGUGUGUGUGUGUGUNUAUUGAAGAUUCUAUAUUGUUAUUUAAUUUAAUUCUCUAAUCAAUAAAAACCAAAUUUUGUAAACCUUAUUAUACAUUUUAUUUUUUUGUAACUUGUAAUUAAUAAUUUAAUUAUAAUUGAACUUAAAGUCAGAUACUACUUUGUAUAUUUUUAUAAAUUUUAUUUAAUUGCAUUCUUCUAAAAUGGAAAAUAAUAUGAUAUUAUUUGUUUCCUAACUUGUUCUUUUUAAUAGUAAUAGGUUAAUAGAUAACAAAUAUGAUUUUGAUAGUUUGAAAAUUUUAAAGAUUGUUUUUUACAAAGAUGAAUAUAGUUCCUAUUUAAAUGAAUUUUUUUCUGUAUCAAUUUCUUUUUAAAUUAUACAUACUCUAUUAUUAUACUCUAUUGUGAUAUUUGGAUAUAAAAAUAUUUCAAUAUCUAAUUACAAUAUAAGCCCCUCUUAUCCUAAAAUUGUGACUCCGCCCUUGUCCAUCUCUUCCUGGCUUCCGUUCCAGGUCUAACCGGAGACCUGCUGUACCUCCCCCUUGCGCACUGCCUUUUUCGAACCGACAUCCAAAUGACCCCUCGCAUGCUACUGUUCAUCGUCCUCUCCAUCUAAAAACCUGCAACAAAAAUCAUAAAAGGAACCAACAAAAAAAAUGCUUCUGCUCACUGACAAGUCGGAACCACCUCUUGUUACUUUGCUUUGCUCCAAGAAACAUCACCAAACUAACCCAUUUUCCAGCCCCUAUCGGGAUGCCUUUUUCCAGCCAUAUUCAAACCUCAGUCACCCUCGCAACCUCCUCUUCUCGCACCACCUCCAAACAAACUUGCACCGCCUCUAAACAAACUCACAUGCUGCCUUCUUCGUUUCGGUCCAACUAGAGACCUUGAAAUCCACGGGAUACUACCUUUAAAAACUCGAACACCAUCACCACCUCUUACCUGUUUUACCCUGAAUCAUCAAGAACCGAAGCUACUGUUCAUCUUUUCCAAUCGAAACCUUGAACAAAAAGAAAAUACAAGAGAAUCCAAAUAUCAACUGUUCAAUCUUUCUCUGCUGCUUCUUUCAUCGUCUUUACCGAGAACCCAACACUCGGAACCACCAUCGAAAACCACCUCACCACCAUCGAACCUACCUACUGUCACCACUCUUUUUCGUCGCCACCACUUCGUCGGUUCCAGCAGAGACCCCGAGACUUCCUUAGCAGCUCCUUCCCUUCGGUUCCAAACUAACCCAUCUUGAAAAAAUGGUCUUUGGGGAUGGCUUUUUCCAGCCAUACCCAAGUUACAUUAAUUCCAUGUAGUAUACUAAAAAGCCAAAGUAAGUGUUAUUUUUUUUCCCCGGUAAACUAUACCUCAAAAUCGGCGGAACCAGUUAAACAAAGUAACAGAGGAACAAAAAGUCAAUUUAGAUGGUAUUGUGCGAACCAAAUCUUAAGUUCAAUGGUAUUCUGUCAACAGGAUACACUUAAAUGGGUUCAUUGGUUGUCAAACCCUUUCCUAGAUUUGUUUUUGUAAUUUUCUAGCUUGCUAGUGGUUCUUUAUAAAAUUCAACUAUUCAAAAAAAAAAAAGAUUAAUCUUGAAGAAGAUGUGGCACACCGCACAUAACAUCAAUACAAAGAGUUACAAUUUCAUCAACCUAUAAUGAAGUUAUGUCAUAAAAAUUUGAUGGAAAUCAAAAGUGAUAGUGGAAUUAAAGCUUGAAUGGACUGAUUUUCCACACUUGAGAGAUGAGUCUCUCCCAAACACUUGUUACUGAUUAUAAAAUGACCAAAUGAAUCUAAUAUUACCUGAUUUUCUUCCUUUUGACUUAUUUAACUUGGACUUUCCUGAUUGACUUCUUAGGCUGGAGGGAGUGACGCCACCGAAACCGCACUCUCUUCACCAUCACAUAAGCGCUACGUCACUUUUUACCACACAAGUGUGGUUUCUUGCCACACCAAGGGAGUGGUGCCAUAAUUUUAUUUUUAUUUUAUUUUUGUUUUUUUUUAACUAUUUUAAUUUAAUAAAACUUAUUUUUUAAUAAAAAAAAACAUUAUUUUAAAAAUAUAAUAUUUCAUUAAUUAAAAAUACAAAUAUCAUACAUUGCUUAACUUAAAAAAAACCUAAAAAUUUAGAAAAACAAAUUAGAACCAUAAAACCUAUAACUUAUUAAAAAAACAUACACACACCAAAUGAUUAAAAACUUGAAAAAAAAACUAGAAGUUAGCCACGAUUUGCGUAACGUUUUUUCACUUUCUCCUUCAUCGUCAAAAUAACUUGAAGCUCGUCCCCGGUCAUAUUCGACGUGUCCAACGAUAGUACUCGCAUGUUGUUGUCCCUUUGUUUCCAAAGCUCUCUUUCAGAAGCAAUUUGCAAAAUCUUGUCUAUUCUAUCUUUUAUACCCUUCAUGUCCGCCCCCAUUUCUUUCAACUCAUCUGAAUUCGACAUUUUGCCUUUUCUUUUGCUUUUUUGCUUUGUCUCUUCCCAUUGGUCGGGAAGAUGGUGAAACUGAAACACGUUCAUCUUCGUUCAAAUCAAAUUGAACACGAGCAUCUGAUAUAGUGUGGUCGAACUCAAAUGUUCUGCUGCGUUUUGAACCACUGUCGAUAUGCCCGUAUGAUGUUUUGCAACUUUGCCAUUUCUUAUUAUCUUUCACAAAAUUCCAAACUUCAAGAAACUUGAAAGCCUUCUGGUUUUCUUUUUGAUACACUUUCAGCGCUUUCCUCAAAAUCACUUUAUCGUUUUCUCCACUUUUCCAUUGACGUUUCAUGUUGUUAUACAAAUCAUUAAACAACAUGAUUUCCUUAUUCAUCUUCCUCCAUUUCGAGUACGUUUGAUGUUUUGAAUUGUAUUCUCCAUGGUUCAUUCAUUUAUGGAACCUAUGUAAAACGCGAAUCCAAAAGCGGUCAGGCUUUUGGUCUUUUCCAACCAUCGCGUCUUCUGAAAUAUCGGUCCAAGAUUGUGUCAACAAUAACACUUCUAGGGGUUCCCAACAUUUAGCCUCCACCUUCUCUUUUCUUUUAGUUGCUGCUCGAGUGGGCUGAGUUUUUAUAACGAAUUCCGGUUCGGAAUCAGAAACGACCGUUUCUGGUUAUGUUUGUGUUUGUUGAACAAACUCGGGUUGAGACAAAAAAAUCGAAUUGAUUAAAAUCUGUGUCGGGUUGUGGUAGUGGUUGUGUUGAUCGUUGUGGAAAAUACGAAAGCAUACCGCCAUAGUGGUAAAACGGAGGUGAAAAAAUCGGUUGAUCAAAUGAAUUUUUUCUAACGGGUGUUUUUUUCUUUGCUGGGCCUUGUGGAAGAAGACAUUUUCAAAAAAAAUUGGAGGAAAAGAGAGUAAAAGUGUAAGGAUUUUGGUUGAAUGUUAUGUAAAAAAAUUGUAAGUAUAUAUAUAGAGUAAAGUAAAAAUAAAAAAAUAAAAUAAAUAAAAUAAAAAUAAUAAAUUAAAUUCAGACGCAAGGACCGUUCAGCGGUCAAAGAUGCAACAACCAAUCACAGCACGCGGUCUUUUCUAGCCACACUGCGGCCAAAACCGCAGGAAACCGCACCCAGGGGGCGGUGUUUGCAGUCCAGGUGGCAUGAAUGCGGUUACAAACCGCAGCCCACUCCCAGCAGCCUUAGAUUUUUCGAACUUCUAGACAGUCGUCAAGACCUGUCCUCAAAACUAUCACCUUGUCCUUAAGUUGAUGUUCAUGGAAAAAAAAAAAAAAACUAUUUGUGUUUAUAUCCUCUAUCAAACAUUAACUCUGCUUGAUGUUGAAACAUUUGUAAUUGAUAGGACAAACUGAGCCUUGAGUAAUUGACCAUUCCCAAACCGUGUCUGAAGUUGUAAAAUUCCUUUAACCCAUCAACAAUCUUGAUUGCAACAUUCUUUUCUACAAUUGUCGAGCACCCUUGUGAUAUUAUCAUUUUAACCUCUUCUAAAUUUCGAACAUCACUAAGAAGCAUGUCUCCCUUUCUUCAACUUCAACGUCACUGGAAGAGCUAAAAUUAAUAUAAAGAUUAUUAGGGUUAAUGAAUUGUACCUUGAGCAUAAAUUCUGGUUUUUUCUUAAUAACUAAAUUAGCUACCCCGUCCUCUGAAUCAACUAGCUUCUCAUCUUCUUCACCCACAAUAAUUGUUUUGAUUUACUCUUUUCUUGGCAGCAAGAUCUUCUGAUGCCCUCGAAUUCAGAUUAGAAAGUAGAAAUGAUCCACGACUUCAUCUAUAUCGUUUUCUAGCCCAAUUUCUCUAUUUCUUUCCUUUUAUUCUUGAACUCCAUUGCAGGUUUGUAUCUCUAGUAGGUUCCAUUUGAAUGAAAACAAAGUAUUAUCUUCAAAAGGUCAGUCCGCCCUCCAAGUGUUUGAUGAAAUGUCUGAAAGAAGUGAAUAUUGAUUCAAGAAUUUGAUUUCUUCGAAUAAAUCUGUUUCAUGUGUUUGAUCUUGAUUUCUAAUUCUUGAUUUUUCUUCUGACCUCACUGUAUGAUUGUGUUUUGCCGCCAACACUUUGUCCUAAUUCUUCCCAACUACAAAUCGAUCUUCUGUUGUGCUCAGUUCAUAACAACCUACAAACUUUCAUCAUUGUACGAUUGAUUUAGGGAAACAUAUUGAUCAACUUUCAAAAUCCAUAUGGAUUUGAGCCAACAAAUAUAGAUAUCUCUAAUUGUUUACCUAAGAUAGCAGAAAUUAGUUUUGGUUCUUGAAUUGUCCUCUGUUUCUUGAUCUUUCUCCAUCUUUAAAUGGUAAUCAAUCUCUUUUAUUUGAUUCUUUUUUAAUUUGAUUGAGAUGGUUAAAUUGUUGCAGAAUUUCUUGUAACAUUCCCUCCAAUUCCAUGGAUUCAAAUGUGAAACCUAUCCUUGAUUGUGGAUUCAUGCAUUUGCUUUGCUUUUGUGGAUUGUAAUUUUGUUAUUCCGCCUUCAUUUCCCUCCAUGUGAUUGUUUGUUAAUCUUAUUUCCAUGGUGAAUCAAAACUGCUCUUAUACCAUUUGAUGCAUAUUACAAAAUUAAUGCUACUCGACUUCCCUCCCUUUAUACUCAUUCCAUCCAAGUCUAACAGAAUUUCCCUCCCAUAUAUGGCUAGUUAACUAACAACUUUGACUCAUUAACUUUGACUUUCCUGGUUGAUGAAAAAUUUCCCUCUUCUAGACACCCGGCUCAUCAUUAUGGUGCACAGUUUUGGUAAACUCUUCUUUUUAACUGUUUGUUAUGAAACAUUUUCUAAAAUAUAUUUGUUUUAUGAUGGAGUGCAAUUAAUGAUUCCAAGUUAUAUUCAGAAUAGAAAUCAACUUCUGGUUCUAAGCUUUUGAAAGAAUCAUCAUUUUAGUUCACUUCCCAUUACCUAUAUUGCAUGUUUUCAUUUCCAUUUUGAUGUAACAUCCUCAAAUGUUGGAGGAAUUUGUAAUAAAUGAUGAAUUGUUAAUGCUAAGUAAUGACAUUUAACUUAGGUAGGGUAUUAUUUUAAUGUAACAAUGUUGAUUUUCUGAGUUGAACAUUGAUUUACCGAUGAACAAAUAAGGCCAGUGAAACGUUUUAUUAAUUAUAGACAUAACUUCAUGUUCGCAGCGGGGGAUUAGUUGGUACGUGAAAGCUGGUCUGGAAACCCUCGUUAGAAAAGUUCCCUUUCCAAUAAAAAAAAAUAAGAAAAAACUUUCUAAAAUAUAAACUUUUUAUGAUGCCUUAUUUCACACAGCAGUGAAAAUGGCCACCCGUGGUGUUGGUGGCAAUUUUAUUGAUAAAUGGGACUUAAAAACCCAUGCCAAAUACAAAAAUGAAACAUGGUUUUACAUGACUAUCUAUGUUCUAUCUUUUUUGUAAAUUUGCAAUGAACACCACCACCUUCACAUAAACCCAAUCUUUGAAGCUAUCAAGAAACAUAAAAAAAGCAUAUCUUCCACGGCGGUUGAGGAGCAAAGCACCACAUGCUAUCCAAAAUCCAAUACAUGAAGUUCGUCUACACCUUCACCCUCACCCUCACUUUCACCAAUGUUGUGUUGUAUUUCCGAUUCUUCAUCUAGAGGACAUUUUUUGGUAAGGGGAGGUCCGCAUAGCCCUAAGUUCCCUUUGUAUCUUGAAGGAUCAAAGGACUGAAGUUGUGUGCUGGAUGGGAUUCUCCCUGACAGGUUAUUACACGACACGUCUAGGUAACUCAAUAAGGUCAUUUGAGACAUGGUUGAGGGUAUUUCUCCUAAAAACUUGUUUCUAGAUAAAUCCAAAGUUAAAAGAUUUUUCAUCUCACUGAUGUUCCAUGGAAUCUUUCCAUAUAGAGCAUUCUUUGAUAGGUUGAGUGCAAUCAGUUCAUCAAGAUUGGUAAUCUGAUAUGGGAUUUCCCCUGUUAAGUUGUUGCUUGACAGGUCGAUGCUCCUCAACAAUACCAUAUUACUUCUGACGAAUUCACGUUCAACUCCUUGCCACUGGAUCAUCACAUGGUCAACAUUAUACGAAUAUACUGAAACUCCACGUUCUAAAUUUUGUACUUGAGGGAAACCUUGUUGCACCAUGAUGGUAAGAUUACUCAAACAUGAGGGUAUGGUUCCAUGGAAAUGGUUAACCGACAAGUCUAGAAUUUGAAGACUUGCUAAUUGACAUAAUUGUAAAGGGAUGCUUCCAGAGAAGUUGUUCGAUCUUAACAUAAGAACAUACAACCCAGAUAAGCUUUCCCCGAUCCAAACAGGCAAAUUUCCAGAAAACUUGUUGGCACCCAAAUUCAAUGAUUUUAAGCUCGUGCAAUUCUUAACAGACAAAGGAAAUUCUUCGGAGAAAUCAUUCUUGUAUAAAUCCAAUGCCUCGAGCUUAAUCAUAGAUCCAACAGAAGCAGGAAGCCUUCCAGACAGAUUAUUGUGUUCUAAAUUAAGAACUUUUAGUUCUUUGAAAUGCCACAAGCAGUUUGGAAUUUGUCCGCUUAGAUAGUUAUGAGAGAGGUCAAGUAUAACUAAAAAGCCAUGGAUAACCUCACAUAAAAAGGAGAUUCCUCCAGAAAAUUUAUUUCUGGAAAGAUUUAGUAAUGCCACAGUGGAAGAGACAUUAGUUAUUAGACCAUCAAAGCUGUUGGAGCUUAAAUCUAUCACUGAAUUGUUGUAAAAUAUUGAUGACAGAUCUGGUACUUUCCCACUUAUGUUGUUGGAAGAAAGAUUCAGGAAUGUUAACCGGGAUGGCCACGAGCCCCAAAACUCGACAGGAAUAGUAUCUGAAAUACCAUUAUUUGCAAUAUCAAGACUGGUAAGGUUUUUCAACUUUUGAAUCCAUUUGGGGAAGUGAGGCCCUAGCUUGCAAGAGCUUAGUUGAAUAGAUUCUAUAUGAGAAUGGUUUGACAUGUAAUCUGAGGAAGGAAAUCCAUGGAGUGAGUUUUUGGAUAGAUCAAGAUAUUUAAGGUUGGGCAGUUCCCACAGUUUCUUACUUAUAGUUCCUUUUAAUUGAUUCGUAGAGAGAAACAGAUAUGUUAGGGAUGUAAACUUUUGGAUCUCAUCCGGCAAUGACCCUGUAAAUUGGUUGUUGGAAGCAACUAACAAUUGUAAUGAAAGCGAUGUGCAUCCAGACAAGUUGUUGAGAAAAUCAGGAAAAGUGACAACAGCAGAGUUCCUAUCAAAUCUCAAACUUACCAAACUACAGAGGUUACCAAGAUAUUUGGGUAUCCCAUCUAACAUGUUGCCAGAGAGAUCAAGAUAUAUAAGGCUAUUGCUGGUUAAUGGGAACAACCAACGAUACAUGGAUGAGGUGAGACUGUUGUUUUCAAGAUAAAGGACUUCAAUAGAUGAAGAA